UAAAUAUAUCUGAUGAGUGCAUAGUUCAUCUGAAUAGAUUUGUAUCUACAUAUAUUUGAUGACAAAGCAAUCCAAAAUAGUCUUUCGCUCCUAUCUGAAUUAUCUU
rnacentral:snoRNA from 1 species